CAAAAGCAAGCUUGGGGAGGAAAGGGUUGUUUUGCUUACUCUUCCAUAUCACAGGGAGUCCUGGCAGGAACCCCAGGCAGGAACUGAAGCAGAGGCAGAGCCGGAGAAGGAAUGCUGCUUACUGGUUUAGUUCCCUACUUAGUCUGCUUUCCUACAUGGUCCAGGACACCUGUCCCGGGGUGGCAUGGCUCUCAGUACACUGGGCCCUUCCACACCAGUCUUAAUCCAAAGAAUGUAUUACAGAUUUGCCUCAAGACAAUCCAAUAGACAUUUUCUAAAUUGAAGUUCCUCUUCCCAGUAACUAACUCUAACUUUGGCUUGUGUCAAGUUGUCAAAAAAAAAAAAAAAUUCUCAGGGGCAAUCAGUAAGCAGAUUUCAGCAUAAAUGGUUCAAACGGAAAGGUCAUUGUGAUGAAGCUCCUGGAGCAAGGGCAGGGGUAAAGAACCAGGGAACUUGAUAUAUCUAGUAUCUGGCAACAGCUGGAAACAGACCACCAAUAGAGUUGCAGGAGGGCUGAGAAAAAUGCCCCCCUUAAACUGUUCAGAGCCACUAACCCUGAAGGGUGUGUUUGCAUCUGUCAGGUGAGGGAUUCCAGGAAAGGCUCAGAACUGCUAUCGAUCCAAAGGGAACUUCAAGGGUGUGGGAGUGGGGUGCCAAGUGAGCAGGACAGAUUUCCCCUCCGUGGCCACACACCACCUUCUUGAGGGCCCGAAGGGCACUUGCAGCAUAUGUGUUCUGAGACAGGUCACAUACAUUUCUCCCAACAUAUACUGGAGAGCGACCAUGAUCAUAAACUAUGAAGACAAAGCACUAGCAGGGUGACACACACCUAUAAUCUCAGCACUUUGGAGGUGACUGCAAGAGGAUCAGGGGUUCAAGGUCAUCGCUACCUUAUCUGUGCAAGGAUGGCUGAUAAUGGGUGUGGCAGGAGUUGGAUAGCUGAUAGUCAAACAUAUCCCACUGUGACCUGGGCCAAGGGUCCUGACAUCUGUGCACCUCUGCCCCAGGAGGCUGGACUGUCUUCUCUGUCUCAGAAAAGGGGAGACAGGGAAGCCCCUUAGGAGGUACUUGAACCAGCUAUUAUUUUAACUGGGUCACACUAGUACAUUCCCAGCAACCUUAAGGCAGUUACACUCACUGUGCCCAUUCAGCAACAAGGAAAGUGGAUCGGGAUUGGGCAAGCUGCCCACAUUGUCCGAGCUACAAAGCAGUCAAGAAUAAACACCAUGACCAAAAGCAACUUGGGAGAAAAGGGUUUGUAUGGCUUAAAGGUACAGUCCAUCAUUGAGGGAAGCCAAGGCCGGGAACCAUAGAAGAAUGCUGCUAAC
rnacentral:lncRNA from 1 species